rnacentral:tRNA from 1 species
GGGGGUCUAGCUCAGUGGUAGAGUGUGUGCUUAGCAUGCAUGAGGCCCUGAGUUCAAUCCCCAGCACCUCCA